rnacentral:rRNA from 1 species
UACGUAGGGUCCGAGCGUUGUCCGGAAUUAUUGGGCGUAAAGAGCUCGUAGGCGGUCUGUUGCGUCGGCUGUGAAAUCCCGGGGCUCAACUCCGGGCCUGCAGUCGAUACGGGCAGACUAGAGUUCGGUAGGGGAGACUGGAAUUCCUGGUGUAGCGGUGAAAUGCGCAGAUAUCAGGAGGAACACCGGUGGCGAAGGCGGGUCUCUGGGCCGAAACUGACGCUGAGGAGCGAAAGCGUGGGGAGCGAACAGG